rfam:Ovis aries breed Texel chromosome 11, whole genome shotgun sequence.
UAGCUCAGCAGUUAAAGCGUCUGCCUGCAAUGCAGGAGACCCAGUUUCGAUCCCUGG